UACGGAGGGUGCAAGCGUUGCUCGGAAUCACUGGGCGUAAAGGGCGUGUAGGCGGUCUCGUAUGUCUGACGUGAAAGCCCCGGGCUCAACCCGGGAAGUGCGUUGGAAACUGCGAGACUAGAGUCUCGGAGAGGAAGGUGGAAUUCCAGGUGUAGCGGUGAAAUGCGUAGAUAUCUGGAGGAACACCUAUAGCGAAGGCAGCUUGCUGGGACGUUACUGACGCUAAGGCGCGAAAGCGUGGGGAGCGAACAGG
rnacentral:rRNA from 1 species